AGUUUGAUCUCGGACUGGUGUGCUAGCAAUGAGGGAGACUCCGUGGGCAUACAACCUUCUGAGCCAGAACCUGGAUGUUGACGGGGCCACCUCUGAUCUUGUGAGGAACUAGUCGGCGAGCAAUUGCUGAAGCUGCAAAAGGCUGAGAGAAGAGGCCUUAGCACCUUCAGCUUGCCAGCACCUUCAGCUUGGAUUCCCAGUGUUCAGAACUGCAAGAAAUAAAUUUCUGUUCUU
rnacentral:lncRNA from 1 species